rnacentral:rRNA from 1 species
GAGGUUCGAAGGCGAUCAGAUACCGCCCUAGUUCUAACCAUAAACGAUGCUAACCAGCGAUCCGCCUGAGUUUCUCAAUUGACUCGGCGGGCAGCUUCCGGGAAACCAAAGUUUUUGAGUUCCGGGGGAAGUAUGGUUGCAAAGCUGAAACUUAAAGGAAUUGACGGAAGGGCACCACCAGGAGUGGAGCCUGCGGCUUAAUUUGACUCAACACGGGAAAAUUUACCCGGCCCGGACACCGGAAGGAUUGACAGAUUAAGAGCUCUUUCUUGAUUCGGUGGGUGGUGGUGCAUGGCCGUUCUUAGUUGGUGGAGCGAUUUGUCUGGUUAAUUCCGUUAACGAACGAGACUCUAGCCUACUAAAUAGGCGACGGAUCACUUUCGUCCGUCGCUCUUCUUAGAGGGACAAGCGGCGCUUAGCCGCACGAGACAGAGCAAUAACAGGUCUGUGAUGCCCUUAGAUGUCCGGGGCCGCACGCGCGCUACACUGAAGGAAUCAGCGUGUGCUUACCCCUGUCCGGCAGGAUUGGGUAACCCGUUGAACCUCCUUCGUGAUAGGGAUAGGGGCUUGUAAUUAUUCCCCUUAAACGAGGAAUUCCCAGUAAGUGCGAGUCAUAAGCUCGCGUUGAUUACGUCCCUGCCCUUUGUACACACCGCCCGUCGCUACUACCGAUUGAAUGAUUUAGUGAGGUCUUCGGACUGGUGCUCGGAGCGGCUCUCGGGUCGCGCCGGUGUACCGGAAAGAUGACCAAACUUGAUC